CAGAGAUUUAGGUGUGUUAUGCUAGCAGUGGCUAAUGAAGCCUCAUGCGGGCUGCAGAGGUCUGGCAGCAGUGUGUGGCUUUUCAGAGCACUUUAAUCUGCUCUCCAGCCGGACAUGUGGGACUUGGCCUUGCCCCCUUGUCACCCCCAGCAGAAUCGUGGUGGUAAAUAUCAGAUGGGGCCUCUACUGCCGCAAAGGAACGAUACAAUCAGCAUUCAGAACAAUACCCAACGUAAUGACAACGGAGCAAAAAGUCUCCUGAUGAAGACCAUGAGAGAUACAGUAAGCUGGCACUGAGUUAAGAAUGUUUUUUGUCAAGCUGAUAUUUCAACACCAAGAAUGAAAC